AGUGAACGCUGGCGGUAGGCCUAACACAUGCAAGUCGAACGGCAGCACAGAGGAGCUUGCUCCUUGGGUGGCGAGUGGCGGACGGGUGAGGAAUACAUCGGAAUCUACUCUGUCGUGGGGGAUAACGGAGGGAAACUUACGCUAAUACCGCAUACGACCUACGGGUGAAAGCAGGGGACCUUCGGGCCUUGCGCGAUUGAAUGAGCCGAUGUCGGAUUAGCUAGUUGGCGGGGUAAAGGGCCACCAAGGCGACGAUCCGUAGCUGGUCUGAGAGGAUGAUCAGCCACACUGGAACUGAGACACGGUCCAGACUCCUACGGGAGGCAGCAGUGGGGAAUAUUGGACAAUGGGCGCAAGCCUGAUCCAGCCAUACCGCGUGGGUGAAGAAGGCCUUCGGGUUGUAAAGCCCUUUUGUUGGGAAAGAAAUCCAGCUGGCUAAUACCCGGUUGGGAUGACGGUACCCAAAGAAUAAGCACCGGCUAACUUCGUGCCAGCCGCCGCGGUAA
rnacentral:rRNA from 1 species